rnacentral:rRNA from 1 species
GCAAGUCGAACGGUAACAUAGUGGAGCUUGCUCUUCUGAUGACGAGCGGCGCACGGGUGCGUAACGCGUAUACAAUCUACCUGUUACAGGGGGAUAGCCUUUGGAAACGAAGAAUAAUACCCCAUGGUAAGUUAUUUUGGCAUCAUUAUAACUUUAAAGAUUUAUUGGUAAAAGAUGAGUAUGCGUCCUAUUAGCUAGAUGGUGUGGUAACGGCACACCAUGGCUACGAUAGGUAGGGGCCCUGAGAGGGGGAUC